rnacentral:rRNA from 1 species
UACGAAGGGGGCUAGCGUUGCUCGGAAUCACUGGGCGUAAAGCGCACGUAGGCGGAUUGCUAAGUCAGGGGUGAAAUCCUGGAGCUCAACUCCAGAACUGCCUUUGAUACUGGCGACCUUGAGUCCGGGAGAGGUGAGUGGAACUGCGAGUGUAGAGGUGAAAUUCGUAGAUAUUCGCAAGAACACCAGUGGCGAAGGCGGCUCACUGGCCCGGUACUGACGCUGAGGUGCGAAGGCGUGGGGGCAAACAGG